AGGAGGAGGAGAGAUUCAGGGAGGAGCUGAGCUGUUACUGAACUAGAAGAGAGAGAAACCUCCACAUUCAACAGAGUUCAGCACACAAACCAUAAACUUUACCUUCAUUCAAGAUGUUGUCUUUGGACUAUUAUGCACUUUCUUUACUGAUUCUCACCAUUCUAACAGGUGUCAGCUGUGAAGAUCUCACUCCAACCAACAAAGAAGUGUUCAGUGUAGAAGGCAGCACUGUUAAUCUGUCCUAUAGAUACUCCAAAAAAGCAACUGGAAGUGACGAGUUUUACUGGUAUCGACAAUAUCCUGGAAAACCACCAAAGUUCCUGAUCUCUCAUUUUGGAACAGGAGCGAAAAUGUCAGAUCCAGGCCCUGGAAUCACUUUUAAUGUGAGUGAAGACAAAACACUGAUGACUCUUCAGAUCUCCUCUGCUGCAGUGACAGACUCUGCUGUGUACUACUGUGCUGUGAGGCCCACAGUGACAGGAAACACCAAAACUCUGUACAAAAACCUUUGGAGCAAAGACAACAGAAUACUCCACAACAUCCACUAGAGGGAGCCACACACUGUUAAACCUCUGAUUCUUGUGUCAUUGGACUGAUGACAAAGACAACACAGUUAUAAAAAAAUAGUUUAAUAAAAAGAAGUACAAAUACAGUCUAUUUAUUUUUUGUUGGUUUCCUGAAAAAUGUGUUCAUUCUAAGCUCACAUGAGCCUGUGCUCUGAAGUGUACAGCACAGAGAGAGUUUAA